UAGGGAAUCUUCGGCAAUGGGGGGAACCCUGACCGAGCAACGCCGCGUGAGUGAAGAAGGUUUUCGGAUCGUAAAGCUCUGUUGUUAAGGAAGAACGAGUGUGAGAAUGGAAAGUUCAUGCUGUGACGGUACUUAACCAGAAAGGGACGGCUAACUACGUGCCAGCAGCCGCGGUAAUACGUAGGUCCCGAGCGUUGUCCGGAUUUAUUGGGCGUAAAGCGAGCGCAGGCGGUUAGAAAAGUCUGAAGUGAAAGGCAGUGGCUCAACCAUUGUAGGCUUUGGAAACUGUUUAACUUGAGUGCAGAAGGGGAGAGUGGAAUUCCAUGUGUAGCGGUGAAAUGCGUAGAUAUAUGGAGGAACACCGGUGGCGAAAGCGGCUCUCUGGUCCGUAACUGACGCUGAGGCUCGAAAGCGUGGGGAGCGAACAGG
rnacentral:rRNA from 2 species